GACAGACCUUUCAGGAGGUCACUGAUGUUAAAUGAGGUUGUAAGGACAAGGCUCUACGGCAGUAGGACUGAUGUCCUUAUAAGAAAAGGAUGCCAGGGCUGGGUACACAGAGAGAAAACACCUUGUAAGGACACAUCUGCAAGCCAAGAGGAAGGCCUCAGGGGAAACCGAGCCUGCCAACACUUCAAUGUGGGACUUCUAGCCUCCAAAACUACCAGCUUUAGCUCUGGCUCCAGCUCUGAGGCCUCUGCUGCUGAAAGCAGGCCCACCUGGUAAUGGCCCUGCCCUUGAAGCAGCAACAUUGCCCCCAAGGUCCUGGAUGGAAGCCACAUUCCUGAGUCCCUGGGGAGCAGCAGCUUGGCUGAGGAGUUGGCCCUGCUUUCUAGAACUGAAGAGGAAGCAGCCUUGCUUUCUGGAUUAUUCUCCCCACUUUUUGAAGGAUAAUGUAUGUUCACAGCCAAUAGCUCUAUUGUCUUGUUCUGUAGCAUUUCAGAAGUUCAACAAUUUUACUUCAUUUCAACUCUUCUCUCUUCCUUUCAGUUCAAGCUGGUAACAUUUUUGCUGAUUCGGUUGAUUGGAUCCAUUGUGUCUGUUUGGCCAAUAGUGUUAUUCAAAGUCUACCAUCUUUGUCAAAUUAUCUGUCUGGUUGUUGUAUCCAUUAUUCAUAAUGAAGUAUUGAACUCCUCUACUAUUAUUGAAUUGCUAUUUCUCCUGUAUGUUCUGCCAACACAAGUGAAUUUAUUGUAAAUAGUAUAUAGCCAGACAUUGUGUAUUUAAUCUAUUCAGUCGCUCUAUUUUUAACUAGGGAGUUUAACCCAUUUACAUUUAAUAUAAUUAUUGAUAGGAAAGGAUUUACUAUUGCCAAUUUUUUGUUUUGUCUUAUAGUUCUGUUGUUUUUCUUUUCUUUCUUUGCUAUCUAAUUUUGUGUGUGUGUUUUUAUGAUAUGCUUUGAUUUAUGUCUCUGUUUCUCUUGUGUAAUGUCCUAUGUAUUAUUUUUUUAGUUAGCACAGGGCUUACAUAAAAUGUCUUAUAGUUAAAAACAGUCUAUUUUAAGCUGACAAGACUUCAAUUGCAUACAAAAACUUUACACGUUUACUCCCCCCACCCCUAUUUUUUGUAUUGAUGCCACAAUUUACAUCUAUUUGUAC